AGAAUGUUGUACGGAAGACACAAGACCUGAGACUUGUGUUAUUCUAGCAGCUGAACUGACCCCAGCCUCUUCUGAGCGGCCGUGGCGCCGGAAGCAGUCUGGCCUACAGAAUUAUGGAUUCAUUAACAGAUCCUACUGUAUGCUCUGACAGCUAUGACCACAAUGGUCCACCCACAAAUGAAUUAUCAGGCACGAACCCGGAGGCACGUAUCCAUGAAAGUCCACAGACAAAUGAAUUUAAAGGAGCAACCGAGGAGACACUUACGAAUGAUAUCCCACACAGCAGUGAAUGUAAAGGAGCAGCCCUGGUGUCACCUAUCAGUAAAAGGAGGCUACUGCCCCAAAGAUAAACCCACCAUCAGAUUGUAUGGAGGCCCUGCCUUGGGUCUGUAG
rnacentral:lncRNA from 1 species